GAGAAUUUUUCUCAAUGGGGGAAACCCUGAAGGAGCGACGCCGCGUGGAGGAUGAAGGUCUUCGGAUAGUAAACUCCUGUCAUUUGAGAACAAGUGUUGUCCCAUAACUACGGGCAACUUGAUAGUAUCAGAAGAGGAAGAGGCGGCUAACUCUGUGCCAGCAGCCGCGGUAAUACAGAGGCCUCAAGCGUUGUUCGGAUUCAUUGGGCGUAAAGGGUGCGUAGGCGGUUCCGUAAGUCGGAUGUGAAAUCUUGGGGCUCAACCUCAAAACUGCAUUCGAUACUGCGGGGCUAGAGGACUGGAGAGGAGAGUGGAAUUCACGGUGUAGCAGUGAAAUGCGUAGAUAUCGUGAGGAAGACCAGUGGCGAAGGCGGAUCUCUGGACAGUUCCUGACGCUGAUGCACGAAGGCUAGGGGAGCAAAC
rnacentral:rRNA from 1 species